rnacentral:misc_RNA from 1 species
UACGGAGAACUCAAGCGUUACCCGGAAUCACUGGGCGUAAAGGGUUGCGUAGGCGGUUUCGCAAGUCCCGAUUGAAAGCUAUUAGCUCAACUAAUAGACUAAUCGGGAUACUGCGGAACUAGAGGAUGGUAGAGGCAGGUGGAAUUUCCGGUGUAGGAGUGAAAUCCGUAGAUAUCGGAAGGAACACCAAUGGCGUAGGCAGCCUGCUGGACCAUUCCUGACGCUGAUGCACGAAAGCGUGGGGAGCGAACCGG